GCUGGGUACGGUGGCGUGUACCUGUAGUCCCAGCUAGUUGGGAGGCUGAGGCAGGAGAAUCGCUUGAACCCAGGAGGUGGAGGUUGCAAUGAGCCCAGAUCGUGCCACUGCACUCCAGCCUGGGUGACAGAGUGAGACCCUGUCUCAA
rnacentral:SRP_RNA from 1 species